rnacentral:rRNA from 1 species
GACGAACGCUGGCGGCGUGCCUAAUACAUGCAAGUCGAACGAGAGCGACCGGUGCUUGCACUGGUCAAUCUAGUGGCGAACGGGUGAGUAACACGUGGGUAACCUGCCCAUCAGAGGGGGAUAACAUUCGGAAACGGAUGCUAAAACCGCAUAGGUCUUCGAACCGCAUGGUUUGAAGAGGAAAAGAGGCGCAAGCUUCUGCUGAUGGAUGGACCCGCGGUGCAUUAGCUAGUUGGUGAGGUAACGGCUCACCAAGGCCGUGAUGCAUAGCCGACCUGAGAGGGUGAUCGGCCACAUUGGGACUGAGACACGGCCCAGACUCCUACGGGAGGCAGCAGUAGGGAAUCUUCCGCAAUGGACGCAAGUCUGACGGAGCAACGCCGCGUGAGUGAAGAAGGUUUUCGGAUCGUAAAACUCUGUUGUUAGAGAAGAACAAGUGCUAGAGUAACUGUUAGCGCCUUGGCG